GAAAGCUCGUGGUCAUCGAGUCCAGUGGAGCAAAGUCUGGGAUUCUAUGAAUAGAGUUGAUUCAGCUGGAGUCCUUGCUAGAUUGUCACAACUUGGACAUGUUGUGAGAAGAUCAUAUUCAGUUCAGGCUCCUCUAUCCCUCAUGCAUUUGGACACCAACCACAAGCUGAUUAGAUAUGGCUUAGUAAUAUUUGGGGGCAUAGAUGGCUACUCAAGAAAGAUCAUGUAUCUGGGGGCCACAAACAACAACAGAGCAGAGACUGCUCUAGGUUUUUUUCUCGAGGCAGUAGAGAAGCAUGGAGUUCCUUCACGGUAUGUAUGCAGAUUUUAGUCUGUAUGUCUGUCCUUAUUAAAUGUAUUGUCUUAAUGUGUAGGGUAAGAGCAGACCAAGGUGUGGAAAAUGUGGACAUAGCAAGGUGGAUGUUCACUGUUCAGGGCUGUGGCAGGGGAAGUUUCAUUUCGGGGAAGAGCGUUCAUAAUCAGAGGAUCGAACGAUUGUGGAAAGACGUGUGGAUGUCGGUUUCAAAUGUGUAUUAUGAUGUUCUACAUAGUUUGGAAGAGAGUGGUUCUCUUGACCCAUCAAACAGCCUUCAUCUCUUCUGUGCACAUUAUGCUUUUCUUCCUCGCCUCCAAAGAGACCUAGAGACCUUCACUGAUGCAUGGAAUGACCAUUCCAUCCGUACAGAACAAAAUCUUUCCCCCAAUCAGCUGUGGGAAAUAGGACUUGCACAGAAUGCAGUCAAUGUUUCAUGCGACAUGGAGGACUUCAACAUUUUUGUGCAAGACAGAACUUACCCACUGGAGGAGCAGAAUGUUGGAGUAGUGGUCCCUCAGGUGGAGUGUCUGCUCUCUGAGUAUGAAAUGGCUCGACUAAGGACAACCAUUAAUCCAGUAUCCCAGUCUAGAGACUUUGGACAAGAUAUUUACUUAUCUGUGUUAAAUUUUGUUCAGCAGCUUCUUGAAUAACAUACUUUGAAGCUCAAAACAUCAGACUGUAAGUUAUGAUUUUUUUGUUCUGCAAAGUUUACAGUGUCAUUUAACAACUGUGAAGUAGUACGCAGAAAAAAAACAAAUCGUAGA